rnacentral:rRNA from 1 species
CUCCCUGAGACUAUAAGUCUCCUGAAGGAACGUUGAAGACGACGACGUUGAUAGGCCGGGUGUGUAAGCGCAGCGAUGCGUUGAGCUAACCGGUACUAAUGAACCGUGAGGCUUAACCUUACAACGCCAAAGAAGU